rnacentral:rRNA from 1 species
UACGUAGGUGGCAAGCGUUGUUCGGAAUUAUUGGGCGUAAAGGGCGCGUAGGCGGCUCGUUAAGUCGGCUGUGAAAGCCCGGGGCUCAACCCCGGAGGGUCGGCCGAUACUGGCGGGCUAGAGUACGGAAGAGGUAGCUGGAAUUCCCGGUGUAGCAGUGAAAUGCGUAGAGAUCGGGAGGAACAUCUGUGGCGAAGGCGGCCACCUGGACCAGUACUGACGCUGAGGCACGAAAGCGUGGGGAGCAAACAGG